rnacentral:rRNA from 1 species
GCCUGACGCAGCGACGCCGCGUGAGGGAUGAAGGCCUUCGGGUCGUAAACCUCUUUCAGCAGGGAAGAAGCGCAAGUGACGGUACCUGCAGAAGAAGCACCGGCUAACUACGUGCCAGCAGCCGCGGUAAUACGUAGGGUGCAAGCGUUGUCCGGAAUUAUUGGGCGUAAAGAGCUCGUAGGCGGUCUGUCGCGUCUGCUGUGAAAACCUAGGGCUUAACUCUGGGCGUGCAGUGGGUACGGGCAGACUAGAGUGCGGUAGGGGAGACUGGAAUUCCUGGUGUAGCGGUGAAAUGCGCAGAUAUCAGGAGGAACACCGGUGGCGAAGGCGGGUCUCUGGGCCGUAACUGACGCUGAGGAGCGAAAGCAUGGGGAGCGAACAGGAUUAGAUACCCUGGUAGUCCAUGCCGUAAACGUUGGGCGCUAGGUGUGGGGUCCAUUCCACGGAUUCUGCGCCGCAGCUAACGCAUUAAGCGCCCCGCCUGGGGAGUACGGCCGCAAGGCUAAAACUCAAAGGAAUUGACGGGGGCCCGCACAAGCGGCGGAGCAUGCGGAUUAAUUCGAUGCAACGCGAAGAACCUUACCAAGGCUUGACAUGGGGUGAAAACUCGCAGAGAUGCGGGGUCCGCAAGGGC